rnacentral:rRNA from 1 species
GUGGGGAAUUUUGGACAAUGGGCGCAAGCCUGAUCCAGCAAUGCCGCGUGCAGGAAGAAGGCCUUCGGGUUGUAAACUGCUUUUGUACGGAACGAAAAGACUCCUUCUAAUAAAGGGGGUCCAUGACGGUACCGUAAGAAUAAGCACCGGCUAACUACGUGCCAGCAGCCGCGGUAAUACGUAGGGUGCAAGCGUUAAUCGGAAUUACUGGGCGUAAAGCGUGCGCAGGCGGUUAUAUAAGACAGAUGUGAAAUCCCCGGGCUCAACCUGGGAACUGCAUUUGUGACUGUAUAGCUAGAGUACGGUAGAGGGGGAUGGAAUUCCGCGUGUAGCAGUGAAAUGCGUAGAUAUGCGGAGGAACACCGAUGGCGAAGGCAAUCCCCUGGACCUGUACUGACGCUCAUGCAUGAAAGCGUGGGGAGCAAACAGGAUUAGAAACCCUUGUAGUCC